CACUUCUGCAAUUUUAGGAGUAAAUUCACUUUGUUUAUGCCGCCCUAGCCACAUCUCCCUUCGAUGUGAUUCAUACAGCCUCGCUAAACAAUUUCAAUGCAGUCCUACAGGAGGGUGGCAUGGAAUGUCUUUAGUACUGCAUUUUUAGUGUGAGCACGGUUAAAUAACUGCUCACACCUUGAAGCCCUAGGUAUCAACGUCUGUGCUCAUUUUAGUGGCCCCAGAUUUUGUGAUGAGCUGCAUGGAGCGAUGAAAUUUAGGGCUGCAAGCAGUUCUGUAAUAGACAUUUAAAUAUCUUUCAAUUAAAUCCGUGCUCACAUCAUGAAACCAAAGUUACAAUAGAUACCUGGUGCUCCCUUCUGUCAGCUGGAGCAAUAUUUAAUUGCCCUGGACUGACUGAGCUAUGUGCAGCGCUAAUUUCCUUUAUAAUACCGCGGCUGAGCCACGUUGGAAUAGACCCUUGCAGGUUCUCCCUAUCUGUCCUGAGCCAACUGUGAGUGGACUUGGUUUUGCCAGCUGGCCAGCACUGAUCACAGUGCAAUCAACUGGGAAGCCGGCUCCAUUCAUAAUUAC